GGCCUGUUGGUGUAGGGGUUACACGUCCUCUUACUGUGACUAUUGACGGAAAUUAGAGGAAGUCCCCUGUUCGAAUCAGGGUCAGGCAA